AUACGUAGGGGGCGAGCGUUGUCCGGAAUGAUUGGGCGUAUAGGGCGCGUAGGCGGCCGAGUAAGUCUGGAGUGAAAGUCCUGUUUUCAAGAUGGGAAUUGCUUUGGAUACUGCUCAGCUUGAGUGCAGGAGAGGUUAUCGGAAUUCCUGGUGUAGCGGUGAAAUGCGCAGAUAUCAGGAGGAACACCGGUGGCGAAGGCGGUUCUCUGGGCAGUAACGAACGCUGAGGAGCAAAAGCAUGGGUAGCGAACAGGAGUAGAUACCCUGGUAGUCCACGCCGUAAACGGUGGGCGCUAGGUGUAGGGGUCUUCCACGACUUCUGUGCCGUAGCUAACGCAUUAAGCGCCCCGCCUGGGGAGUACGGCCGCAAGGCUAAAACUCAAAGGAAUUGACGGGG
rnacentral:rRNA from 1 species